UACAGGAGGGUGCUAGCGUUGUUCGGAAUCAUUGGGCGUAAAGGGCGUGUAGGCGGUUUGUUAAGUCAUGUGUGAAAUCCCUCGGCUCAACUGAGGAACUGCACGGGAAACUGACGGGCUUGAGUUCGGGAGAGGGAAGCGGAAUUCCGGGUGUAGCGGUGAAAUGCGUAGAUAUUGGGAGGAACACCGGUGGCGAAGGCGGCUAACUGGCCCAACAUUGACGCUGAGACCCGAAAGCAUGGGGAUCAAACAGGG
rnacentral:rRNA from 1 species